rnacentral:lncRNA from 1 species
UGCUAAAUUGCCUUCCCUCUCCAUCAUCAGCUUCACUCUGGCAUCCCUAGGCUCCUUGCUGUUCCUUGAGCGCAUUAAGCAUACACCCACAUUAGGACCUUUCUCACUUGCAACUGCCUCCAUCUGGGAUGCUCUUUUUUUAGAUAUCUGCAUGGCUUACUUCCUCACUUACUUCCUCACUGCUUGCAGGUUUCUGCCUGAAUAUCAUUUUCUCCUAAAGACAUUCCCUUUACACUUCAUCUUCUAAGUGAAGAUGGGGCAUUGAACACACGCGUGUUCCUCAGCACUCUCUUCGAACUCCACUAAACAGAAGUUAAUGACCGUAUUUUAAGCCCAUGGACUCAAAAAGAUAAAGAGAGCAUAAGAGGAGACAGUAAUGACCGCAUUUUGGAAGCUGGAAAAAAGAGAUAACAGAAAACACACACUCAAGACUAUCCACUCCACUUACUUAGCUUUAUUUUUCUCAAUAGCACUUAACCUGGAUAAAAGUGGAUAAAUACAAACGUAAGGUACAUCAGUUCGGUUCAGUCUCUCAGUCAUGUUCGACUCUUUGCGACCCCAUCGACUGCAGCACGCCAGGCUUCCCUGUCCAUCACCAACUCCCAGAGCUUGCUCAAAUCAUGUCCGUCGAGUUGGUAAUGUCAUCCAACCAUCAAAUAAGACCCUACUCCUUCAGACAAACAUGCACAGAUGGCCCAAAAGCUGGCUAAUCAUACAUUCAGAAUCAAGCACCUUGAGUACAAGUCAGGAAGAAUUUUCAUCCAUCUGGAGUGGUCUCUACUUGGAAAGAUCCUACAAAGCAAAAUUCUCCAGGAAGUCAGGGCUCAACUUGAUUUUGAUCCUUGCCUUCAACAUCUCCCCUUGA